AUACCUGCUUGUGGGGACAUGAGUGAAGAAAGAGAGGGGACUUUGAAACAAGAGAAGAGAGCAAACUCAAAAGGUUUUUCAUGGCAGCAUGUGACAAGAUGAUGCUGAAAAAUUUAUAUGGAAAUUCAAAGGAUCAAGAAUAGCUGAAACAUCACUGAAGAAGAACAAAGUGGGCUGAACUCGCUCUACUAGAUAUCAAGAUUUAUAAGCAACUACAGUAUUUAGGACAGUGUAGUAUCGGCACUGGGAGAGAAAAAAAAAAAAAAAAACUAAAAGGAAAAAGAGCCCAGAGACUGACUUUUGUGUAUGUGGACAGUUUGUUUAUGAUGAAAGUACCACUGCUAUGCACUGUGGGAAAAUGUCCUCAAAGAAUGACACUAGGGCAACUGGGUAUCCCCAUGUAAAAACAAUUAACCCUAAUCUCACAUCACACACAAAAAUCAACUCCAUUUGGGGUAUAUACUUAAAUGGAAGGUAAAACUAU
rnacentral:lncRNA from 1 species